rnacentral:ribozyme from 1 species
AACACUUAAAAUCGGUGUGUAGUUGUGCAUAACAAGCGUUUCAAUGGGACGCA